rnacentral:rRNA from 1 species
CCUACGGGGGGCUGCAGUGGGGAAUAUUGGACAAUGGGGGGAACCCUGAUCCAGCCAUGCCGCGUGUGUGAAGAAGGCCCUCGGGUUGUAAAGCACUUUCAGUGAGGAAGAACGCCUGGUGGUUAAUACCCAUCAGGAAAGACAUCACUCACAGAAGAAGCACCGGCUAACUCCGUGCCAGCAGCCGCGGUAAUACGGAGGGUGCGAGCGUUAAUCGGAAUUACUGGGCGUAAAGCGCGCGUAGGUGGCUUGAUAAGCCGGUUGUGAAAGCCCCGGGCUCAACCUGGGAACGGCAUCCGGAACUGUCAAGCUAGAGUGCAGGAGAGGAAGGUAGAAUUCCCGGUGUAGCGGUGAAAUGCGUAGAGAUCGGGAGGAAUACCAGUGGCGAAGGCGGCCUUCUGGACUGACACUGCCACUGAGGUGCGAAAGCGUGGGUAGCAAACAGGAUUAGAUACCCCGGUAGUC